rnacentral:lncRNA from 1 species
ACAGUCCUAAUCUUAAAUAUUUCCUGGUUUAAAAAAUAACUUACCUUUCUAAUAUUUGUUUUCAUUCCUAAUAUGAGUGAGACCAGACUUCGCCAAAUUUUUUAUUUUUCUGAAGAGAGAAGGGGAAGAAGAGCUGUUUCCAAAGUAAAACAGUGAUGUCUGCGGCCCCUGGAGAAUCUGCAAGGUUCUGCUGUCCUGGAGCCAUAAGAAAACUGAGACUGCACCAGAAAGAAAAAUUGCACCAUUUUAUAGUGCUCCUCAACUCCUGUUUCUUCAGUUCUGAGUCAAACACAGAAGUGUCAUUAGUUGGGACCCCCAAAUCAGUUCAGUUCUAAAUAGUUGAGAAACUACUUCCAUAAUUGUCAAAAAGCUAAAGAAUCCAAGUCUUAACUAUUAGAUACUUGUGGGGGAACAAAAUAAAAAAUAAAAAAAAUGUUCCCAGAGACAGGACAUCUGUUGUGCAAUUACUUUCAAAGCAGGUUAAAUUUACUUUUAGCUUGAUUAUAUUCAGAUCCAGAGGUAGAACCCACCCCCUUUUUUCUUCUGGUUUCCUGCUAUUGUUGCUGCAGCUGUAUAUUCUUCCUUUUCACUUUGUGAUUUCAUUAAAGAGCUAAGGUGUGACUCUUGGCUUAAAAUUGUAUUAAAAUUGUGAAUGUUGGUUUUGAAUAAUUUUACUACCUGAGGAUCAUUAUCAAAGUGACUGUUUCUUCUUAAGAAUGGAGCUUUUCAAAAUGGUAAGAAAAUACUACUGCAUGACUGAUUUGGUGAACAUGUUACUUUUAUAAUGGAGAAUAGAGCUGACCACUUUUUGGCAUUAAACACAGCUGACCUAUACUCUAAAGCUGUUUCUAUGGCUCUGUCCGUGUGUCUCAAAUGGAAAUCUUCAACACUGCAAAAGAAUGAAUGCAUGCAUGAAAACCCAGAUCCAUGCAGAAAUAGCAGAUCAGGAAGAUCUGUGUAUGUAACUGGAAUUGUGCAGUGUGAACUGGCAUUUAAGCUUAAGUUGCACUAAAUAUUGGGUCUGGUUUAUAGUGCAACAGGAGAGUGUUCCAAAGCUACAUUUACCUGGAGUAUCGCUGUGCUUGGAAGAUGUCAUCGCUACCUCAAAAUCAUAUGUAUAAAACCAGAACAGCCCUCACAGUCUGCAAUUUCAGGUAUAUCUGAUCACAGUAUAACAGUAUAACAUAUCAGUUUAUAGAAUUUUAUUUCAAAAUUUUAUCAUGUUGCUGAAGCUAAAAAAAUUGAGCAAAGCUAUCACAGUUAAGGUGAAGAAGGGUUACAUAUAUUUACA